GUCUGUUUCUUGUGCAACAUGGUGGAAGACACUAUGAUCAAUCCAUUGACGGAUUUGAGCAAUAGUUUUUCGAUUUGAUUUCUUCCACUCUAACUCCUUCGCGGAAUCAGGAUUUAUACCCUUUAACUCUAUGGGGUCGAAUAAAUCUUUACAGCUUAGGAGAUCUUCCAUCCGAGGUCUCCACAGCGUGUAAUUUGUGGCAGUAAGCGUAAUCAUGGCUCCGGAAGAUGAUGUUGACUCUUCUGUGGACAUUAUCACCUUACAAAUAAUUUUUCAACACAAUCGGGGUUGAAUCUUGCAAAAUGGAGCUCACCGUUACGUCUGGAACGGUCCAAAAUGAUGGAAUUGACACUUCGGGGCCAAAAUUCCACUCUAGGAGCAAAACAGCAAUUUUGAAAAAACUUUGAGGACCAAACGAAAUUUCGAACAAUUGAGGGGUCUUUCUGCAAUUUCGAAAAAACUGCAAAUUCCGGCGAGGUACAGUAUUUCCGGUCGUCUUCUCCGGUGGAACUCCGGUGAACAGUGUCGUCUUCUCCGGCGAUACUCCGGCGAACAGUGUCGUCUUCUC
rnacentral:lncRNA from 1 species